GACGAACGCUGGCGGCGUGCUUAACACAUGCAAGUCGAACGGAAAGGCCCUGCUUUUGUGGGGUGCUCGAGUGGCGAACGGGUGAGUAACACGUGAGUAACCUGCCCUUGACUUUGGGAUAACUUCAGGAAACUGGGGCUAAUACCGGAUAGGAGCUCCUGCUGCAUGGUGGGGGUUGGAAAGUUUCGGCGGUUGGGGAUGGACUCGCGGCUUAUCAGCUUGUUGGUGGGGUAGUGGCUUACCAAGGCUUUGACGGGUAGCCGGCCUGAGAGGGUGACCGGCCACAUUGGGACUGAGGUACGGCACAGACUCCUACGGGAGGCAGCAGUGGGGAAUAUUGCACAAUGGGCGGAAGCCGGAUGCAGCAACGCCGCGUGCGGGAUGACGGCCUUCGGGUUGUAAACCGCUUUCGCCUGUGACGAAGCGUGAGUGACGGUAAUGGGUAAAGAAGCACCGGCUAACUACGUG
rnacentral:rRNA from 1 species